UAGGGAAUCUUCGGCAAUGGGGGGAACCCUGACCGAGCAACGCCGCGUGAGUGAAGAAGGUUUUCGGAUCGUAAAGCUCUGUUGUUAAGUAAGAACGAGUGUGAUAAUGGAAAGUUCAUACUGUGACGGUACUUAACCAGAACGGGACGGCUAACUACGUGCCAGCCGCCGCGGUAAUACGUAGGUCCCGAGCGUUGUCCGGAUUUAUUGGGCGUAAAGCGAGCGCAGGCGGUUAGAUAAGUCUGAAGUUAAAGGCAGUGGCUCAACCAUUGUAGGCUUGGGAAACUGGGUAACUUGAGUGCAGAAGGGGGGAGUGGAAUUCCAGGUGUAGCGGUGAAAGGAGUAGAGAUAUGGAGGAAAACCAGUGGCGAAGGCGACUCUCUGGUCUGUAACUGACGCUGAGGCUAGAAAGCGUGGGUAGCAAACAGG
rnacentral:rRNA from 1 species